ACAAUUUUCUUGUAUGUGCAGCCCAUUUGGACACUCUUAACUGAAAACUGUGCUCCUGGUUCUUGGGCAUUUGGACUCAGACUGAGACUGACACCAUCACCUCUGAUGUCCAGGCCUUCAGACUCAGACUGGACAGCACUACUGGCUUUCCUAGUCUCCAGCUUCCAGUCAGCAGAUUGUGACACUUCUCAGCCUCCAUCACCAUCCCAGUAGCGACUGCCCAUCAAGCGCAUCAUUUGCUAAAUUCUGGCAACAGAGACCACAGGGGCAGGUGGUAAAGAUGAAAUGAGUACAGGUUUCCAGGUGAGCACAGCUUGGGCCUAAGCUUUGUUGACACUAAAAUAAUGAUAAGUGUUAAGCACUUGUGCGGAAAGACUACUGUGGAGUCUACUUGAUGAGAAGCUGGGUGUCCACUUGAGAAAAGACUUCCAUGAAGGAUGAAAGAGUUGCUCCAAAGAGUGGGCCACAGGCUGUGGCUGAUCAUCAUGCCCUUCAAUGCUAGUAGAUCCCAUUCAGCUCCUGUAAGCUGUGAAAUGUGAUGGCUCUGAGUUUGAAGGCUGGUGAAGGACUGUGCCUGUUAUUCAGACACUUGUUUUGAUUGAGAUCAGGUGCUCACUAAAAUCUCCCUGGAAAUUUGAGAAUUCAAGUUGUAACACUGGGUAGCCAAGCCAAAUAGUUGAUGAAUUUGAUUAAAGUUUAUGUCUGUGAGUGGGGCAUCAGAUUGGAGAGAGACAUUUUUAUGCUUUGGGACAAUUUUAUUGGCAUCUCUUUUCCCUUUAAAGGAAGAUAAGGGAGCACUCACCCAUUCAUCCUUCUAUCCAUCCUUCCACCCAUCCUUACUUUCUUUAACCAUCCAUCCAUCCCAUUCCUGUUCUCUCUACUUGUUUGAGAUUCUUUUCACUGGGCAGGCAAGUUCUUUCACAUGGCAAGGAACAGUGGCUAUGGGCAGCCCCAGAUUAUUCAGUUACUGUGUUUGUAAGAGUGGUUACUCCAAUUGGUAAGAUGUCCAUCCAUGUGACCAGAGCAGAAGAGAAAAAGAAAGGAAUACAUAUGUCAGGAAAACAAACUAACAAGCCACAGUAGCUAUUAUACUCCAAUCUGCACUCCCUCCCAUCCCCCACUGACAUGAGACUUCCAAGUUAAAGCCUCCGACACUGGUGAAAAGGAAGUAUGGAUAUAUACAUGUACACACACACAUGCUUGUUCAUACAAACACAUGCAUAUAUAUUAGCUGAUUAAUGCUUUGAGGAAAAAAUAGUUCUGAAGUUUAGAGU